GUAGCAGGCGUACUUUCUAGGGACGGCUGCUCCGCUUUUGCACCCUGCUCUAGGAGGAGGAGGUGGAUGUGGAGUAGGAGGUUGAGGAGGCAGUGACAACGCAUUUGGAUGUCUCCCCUAUCAACUUUCGAUGUUAUUAUCUGCGCCUACCAUGGUGACCAUGGGUUACUGGGAAUCAGGGUUCAAUUCUGGAGAGGGAGCCUGAGAAACGGCUACCACAUCCAAGGAAUGCAGCAGGCAUGCAAAUUACCCACUCCCGACGCAGGAAGGUA